rnacentral:rRNA from 1 species
CCUGAUGUUAGCGGCGGACGGGUGAGUAACACGUGGGUAACCUGCCUGUAAGACUGGGAUAACUCCGGGAAACCGGGGCUAAUACCGGAUGGUUGUUUGAACCGCAUGGUUCAAACAUAAAAGGUGGCUUCGGCUACCACUUACAGAUGGACCCGCGGCGCAUUAGCUAGUUGGUGAGGUAACGGCUCACCAAGGCGACGAUGCGUAGCCGACCUGAGAGGGUGAUCGGCCACACUGGGACUGAGACACGGCCCAGACUCCUACGGGAGGCAGCAGUAGGGAAUCUUCCGCAAUGGACGAAAGUCUGACGGAGCAACGCCGCGUGAGUGAUGAAGGUUUUCGGAUCGUAAAGCUCUGUUGUUAGGGAAGAACAAGUACCGUUCGAAUAGGGCGGUACCUUGACGGUACCUAACCAGAAAGCCACGGCUAACUACGUGCCAGCAGCCGCGGUAAUACGUAGGUGGCAAGCGUUGUCCGGAAUUAUUGGGCGUAAAGGGCUCGCAGGCGGUUUCUUAAGUCUGAUGUGAAAGCCCCCGGCUCAACCGGGGAGGGUCAUUGGAAACUGGGGAACUUGAGUGCAGAAGAGGAGAGUGGAAUUCCACGUGUAGCGGUGAAAUGCGUAGAGAUGUGGAGGAACACCAGUGGCGAAGGCGACUCUCUGGUCUGUAACUGACGCUGAGGAGCGAAAGCGUGGGGAGCGAACAGGAUUAGAUACCCUGGUAGUCCACGCCGUAAACGAUGAGUGCUAAGUGUUAGGGGGUUUCCGCCCCUUAGUGCUGCAGCUAACGCAUUAAGCACUCC